CCUACGGGAGGCAGCAGUGAGGAAUAUUGGUCAAUGGACGAGAGCCUGAACCAGCCAAGUAGCGUGAAGGAUGACUGCCCUAUGGGUUGUAAACUUCUUUUAUAAAGGAAUAAAACGAGGCACGUGUGCCUUUUUGCAUGUACUUUAUGAAUAAGGAUCGGCUAACUCCGUGCCAGCAGCCGCGGUAAUACGGAGGAUCCGAGCGUUAUCCGGAUUUAUUGGGUUUAAAGGGAGCGUAGAUGGGUUGUUAAGUCAGUUGUGAAAGUUUGCGGCUCAACCGUAAAAUUGCAAUUGAUACUGGCAGUCUUGAGUACAAGUGAGGUAGGCGGAAUUCGUGGUGUAGCGGUGAAAUGCUUAGAUAUCACGAAGAACCCCGAUUGUGAAGGCAGCUUACUAAACUGUGACUGACAUUGAUGCUCGAAAGUGUGGGUAUCGAACAGGAUUAGAUACCCCUGUAGUC
rnacentral:rRNA from 1 species